AUUGAACGCUGGCGGCAGGCCUAACACAUGCAAGUCGAGCGGAUGAAGGGAGCUUGCUCCUGGAUUCAGCGGCGGACGGGUGAGUAAUGCCUAGGAAUCUGCCUGGUAGUGGGGGAUAACGUCCGGAAACGGGCGCUAAUACCGCAUACGUCCUGAGGGAGAAAGUGGGGGAUCUUCGGACCUCACGCUAUCAGAUGAGCCUAGGUCGGAUUAGCUAGUUGGUGGGGUAAAGGCCUACCAAGGCGACGAUCCGUAACUGGUCUGAGAGGAUGAUCAGUCACACUGGAACUGAGACACGGUCCAGACUCCUACGGGAGGCAGCAGUGUGGAAUAUUGGACAGUGGGCGAAAGCCUGAUCCAGCCAUGCCGCGUGUGUGGAGAAGGUCUUCGGAUUGUAAAGCACUUUAAGUUGGGAGGAAGGGCAGUAAGUUAAUACCUUGCUGUUUUGACGUUACCAACAGAAUAAGCACCGGCUAACUUCGUG
rnacentral:rRNA from 1 species